rnacentral:rRNA from 1 species
UACGGAGGAUGCAAGCGUUAUCCGGAAUUACUGGGCGUAAAGCGUCCGCAGGUGGCUAUGUAAGUCUGCUGUUAAAGAGUGAGGCUCAACCUCAUAAGAGCAGUGGAAACUACAUGGCUAGAGUGCGUUCGGGGCAGAGGGAAUUCCUGGUGUAGCGGUGAAAUGCGUAGAUAUCAGGAAGAACACCGGUGGCGAAAGCGCUCUGCUAGGCCGCAACUGACACUGAGGGACGAAAGCUAGGGGAGCGAAUGGG